CCAUAACAACAGGACUACAUUUCCCAUAGCCCUUUGCCCCCCAGGGUCUGGGUGAGCUCAGCCAGUGGAGGCCCCGGUGAAAGAGUGGAUGGCCAGAUGAGGGAGAGGCUAGUGGGGCUAACAUACGAGUUGGCCGACUGAGUUGUGGGUUGCACACGCCCCGUGUGGUGGGCCUCGUCUGACUAGCACCAAACGCCCAGCCUCCUCUGAGCAAGGCAGCCUUCCCCAGCAGCUGGGCUUCAGACACCAUCUGCAGCAUCCACUCUCCCUGGUUCUACAGCAGAUCGUUUGCAGAAGCUUAGUGAACAUCGGGCCUUCUGGUCUCCAGCUUGGAAACUUUGUAUUUGCCAGCCUCUGUAAUCGUAGUGCUGGGAGCUGAGGAUGCACUGAAGUGUUCUCUUUCCCUCUGCACUGGCCCCUGGCCAGUCCACUGGAAGGAGAGGGCCCACAGGCACGUGCUUGGGGUGGGUGAGACCACAGUCAGACAGCUGCGCACACGCCGUGACUCUAACUCCUGGGGGGUCGUCUCCCCGGCUGACUGCCUGCAGGAGCGGCGUCCCCUCAGGAUGGCUCCAGCCCUCCCCCCACUGCCUUCUUCAGUUUACCUCGGUCCACAGGGGAGGAGUCAUCCCUGCUGUAUUAGGCAGGGGCCCGGCAGAGCUGCUGUAACAGUGAGCCCCAAAAUGCAACAGCACACCCUGGAUAGAAGGCCAUCACUCUUCUGGCAGCCCCGGAGUUUGAGGGUGGUUGAAGUCCAUGCCGUGGGGCUCCCCAGGGAGCUGGGUUCAUUCCUUUGCGUUGCCCAUCCACACCAAGGGAUUCACUUCCUUUUCAAGGGUGUAGCUGCCAUUUGCCUGCAUCUCUUGUUUGCGCAUCCUAAUGACCACAGCCCAGUCCACCACAGGGUGUCCACCACAGCACACCCGCCCCAGGGAGAGCUGGGGACUGACCCUGCUCAGCUGGGCCUCCGGCGUCCUGGCAGUAAGGACGAUGGGAGCAGUGACCUGACCCUGUGGGAAAAUCCAGAGUCUCUGCAGCACUCACCAUGCCUAAGGGCAUCCACGCAGGUUGCCCCACUGUCCCCCUCUUCAUUCUGCCCUGGGGGAUGCUGCAGCCAGUCUCCAGCCGCCUGGAUUCACAGGAGGGAAGCAGCUUCAGCCAAAUUCUUGUGACAACCAGAAAAGUCCCAUCCGACUCGCCAAGACACAGCCCCAGGGAAUCUUCUCGCCUUCCUGCAACAUGACAUGGGCAAGCUCUGUGCACAGGCUCAGCUCUUUGCAGAAGCCAACACCCGCCUCUGCCCCCCUUAAUGA
ensembl:lncRNA